rnacentral:rRNA from 1 species
AUGGUUGUCGAUGCCCUCGCAGGCAUUCUUGAUAAGGCCAAAACUUGUGGCCAUCUCCGCGGCGUUGUCCCCCACCUUGUGGGUGGGGGAGGGGUCUCCCUCCUCCAAUAUGUGGAUGACACCAUAGUUAUGGUGGAGGGCUCCGCGUCCGACAUCACCAACCUAAAGUUCCUCUUGUGUUUCCAACAGAUGUCUGGGCUCACCAUUAACUUCGAUAAGAGCAAAGUGAUGGUCCUUGGCUACCCUCCGGAGGAGGCGUUGUCCAUUGCGGACCGGCUGAACUGCCACUUGGGUUCCUUCCCCAUGACCUACCUGGGGAUACCCAUUAGUGACUCCAGGCUCACCGUGGCUGAUCUCCGCCCGACGGUGACUAGGAUGCAGCACCGGGUUGAACCUUGGCGGGGACGUUGGCUGUCGAAAGAGGCCAGGAUGAUUCUAAUCAACUCCUCGCUUGCUAGGCUUCUCUGGUUUCUCAUGAGCUUCUACAGCCUCCAUGAGACCCUCCAUCAGGAGGUCGCUAAAUACUAGUCGAGGUUCUAUUGGGCGGGCGAGGGAGACAAG